AGGAGCGGAGUGCCGCGAAAGUGGCACGCUCCGUUCUGAAUGGGAGGUGGGAGUUGUGAAGCUCCCAUCGACCCCUAC
rfam:Planktothricoides sp. SR001 contig_627, whole genome shotgun sequence.